GAUACUCGGCGAAUAAGGAUCUAUAAAGCCAAUCCUAAACAGUUGGGAAAAGGCUCGAAGGCUACAGUUAAGGUUAUAGUUAUGGUUUUGGCAUUGUGUUUUGACCAGAGUCUGAUCUACAUUUGCAACAUAGGUUUUACAAACAUUCUGAAUACCAUACGAUUUUCUAAACUGAAGUUUCUAUCCCAUUUUAGUUCCACAUGUAUAGCAAUUCCACCACCUCCUGUUGUGGUGUUACGCAGAGUAGAAUCAAACACCAAAAUAUCACCUAUCUUUGUUUCCUCUAUGCAGUCUGAUUUGCUCAUCACACCCACUGGACUUUUGCUAUCCAUCAUCUUGUCAUAGUUCCACUUACCCAGUGGUUCAGAAGAAUCUCUUUUCUUUUUUUUUUGCUAAAAAAAAGGGGAAGGAGGAAGGGACAAGCCCACCCCCGCAUAGCAGCCUCCACUGGGCCCCCGCCCCGCUAGAAGAAUGUUCGAUGCGGGCAAAAAUGGCCGCGUGUUGGGCAUCCCGACCGGUUUUACUCAUACCCUUCCCACCCGUGGGCCCGGCUCAGCUACCCCUCUGGGCUCUGGCUCGAGUUCCACGUGUGAGUACGUCACAUGUGACACCACCCCGGCUACUAAAGAUCCAAGAAAUGUUCCUAUACCUCAUGUCCAAGCAGUG
rnacentral:lncRNA from 1 species